rnacentral:rRNA from 1 species
UAGUUAUAUGCUUGUUCUAAAAAUUACCCCUUGCAUGUGUCGAAAUAUGUCUGUAUAAACAAAUCUGCAAACGGCUCAUUAUAACAGUGAUUGCAUAAUUGACUUUCUUAAACGGAUAACCGGGGAAAACUAAGGCUAAUACAACCCAAUUUUGCCAAAUUUCAUUCUGUGCUGUAUUUCUUGUGUUAUAAGUCCAAGGCGCUCUGCGUGUUCAAUGAAACGCAGGAACUUUUCAAGUCAAAUAAUCAAUGCGUCAAAGUGGUUUCUGACCUAUCACCUUUCAACGGUAGGGUAUUGGCCUACCGGGGCAAUGACGGGAAACGGGAAAUUAGGGUUUGAUUCUGGAAAGGGAGCCUGAAAAAUGGCUACCACGUCUAAGGAUGGCACCAGGCGCGCAAAUUACCCAAUCCUGAAACAGGAAGGUAGUGACAAAAAAUAGCACCGCAAAGCAUUUGCUUUUUGAUUGCAAUGUGAAUCUUCCAAAUUUUGCUUCAAGAAUCAAUUGA